rnacentral:rRNA from 1 species
CCUACGGGGGACAGCAGUGGGGGAUAUUGCACAAUGGGGGGAACCCUGAUGCAGCGACGCCGCGUGGGUGAAGGAGCGUUUCGGCGCGUAAAGCCCUGUCGGCAGGGAAGAAGAUGACGGUACGUGACCAAGAAGCCCCGGCUAAAUACGUGCCAGCAGCCGCGGUAAUACGUAGGGGGACAGCGUUAUCCGGAUUUACUGGGCGGAACGGGGGCGCAGACGGCAAUGCAAGCCAGGAGUGAAAGCCCGCGGCUCAACCCCGGGAGUGCACUUGAAACUGGAUGGCUGGAGUACAGGAGGGGCAGGUGGAAUUCCUAGUGUAGCGGUGAAAUGCGUAGAGAUAAGGAGGAACACCAGUGGCGAAGGCGACCUGCUGGACUGUAACUGACGUUGAUGCGCGAAGGCGUGGGGAGCAAACAGGAUUAGAUACCCGAGUAGUC